rnacentral:sRNA from 1 species
UGCGAGAGAUGCCGUUCGCGCUGUGCUGAGCCGACCGGUCAGUCCGCCACGUGCCGAAUUGCUCCGCAAAAACCGUAUGGACAGCAAGGGGCAUUGCUGGGUAGAAUAAAGGUACACCAGCGGUGCCCGUCCUUUCUUAACUGGUACGCGGGCAACGCCAGGUGGUUCGAAUCGAAAAGCCCGGUAGCCGCCGGGCU